rnacentral:lncRNA from 1 species
CAUGAAGCCCACCCCAUUCUGGAAGUCAUUAGUGCAAAAGCUACGCAUCGAUACAGAUAAGAAUCUUUACAUAAGUCCUAGGACAUACACUGUUCACUGCUGUAGGUGAGCAGAUCGUCUCCAUUUAUGUGCAUCUUUGCAUCCUCCAUUUGGUAAGUACUAUUUCUUUCCUGAUACUAAUUGUGCCUAAGAUGAUGUAAAUAAAUUAUCUUUACUAUUUCUGCAGUAAGAUGCUGUAACACACUUCACUGAAUCCUAAAAGUGGGAACAAAAAUUGUCUUUGUUGUUAAGACAAAAAUCAAGGUUCUGAAGAGAAAAAGUUUUUGCUAUAGGUUAUUAUGAUCCCAUGAGGCUCUUUGGCUGGUGCCAUUUAAAUCAAAGAAUUUAAAUAUGAAGAUAGUCAUAUAUUUCUUUUUUAAUAAUAUUUUUCCUUAAGAGAUUUCUGAUUAAGUUAUCAUAAGUUAUAAAAUUAAGCUUCAAACUUAUGCUUCAAAAUUUGUGAUCAAGGAAUUUUACUCAGGAUUUGGCAGCUGGAGUACAUGAAUGUACAAUUAUCUCAUUUGAUUGCCCAUCUUUUCAAUAGAGAUUAACACAUUUUCAUAGGUUUUUAUCAUAUCAAUAAUUCUGUCUGCUCAUUAUCACCUUUGAAAUUUUCAGAUAGAAUUGAUUAUGAGAUUUAUUUAAAGUUUCACUAUUUACUGAUAAAAUCUAUGUGAGGAAAACCUGGCAUUUUUGUAUAUAUGUGUGGAAUCUGGCUAAUAUAAAUGACCUGCUAUUCAAGGAAAAACAUAACCUUGUAGUUUUGUUCCAACUUGUAAAUUUAUUUCUCUCAAAUAGAUUCAAUACUAUUAGGCUUUGCAAGAAGUAAAAGUCGCUCAGUAGU